AUUGAACGCUGGCGGCAGGCCUAACACAUGCAAGUCGAGCGGAGCGGCGGACGGGUGAGUAAUGCCUAGGAAUCUGCCUGGUAGUGGGGGAUAACGUCCGGAAACGGGCGCUAAUACCGCAUACUAUCAGAUGAGCCUAGGUCGGAUUUGCUAGUUGGGGGGGUAAAGGCCUACCAAGGCGACGAUCCGGAACUGGUCGGUGAGGAUGAUCAGUCACACUAGAACGGUGACAGGGUCCACAGUCCUACGGGAGGCAGCAGUGGGGAAUAGGGGACAAUGGGCGAAAGCCUGAUCCAGCGAUGCCGCGUGUGUGAAGAAGGUCUUCGGAUUGGAAAGCACUUUAAGUUGGGAGGCGUUACCAACAGAAUAAGCACCGGCUAACUUCGUGCCAGCAGCCGCGGUAAUUC
rnacentral:rRNA from 1 species